UAUCCGAAGAAAUUGAGAAGCCUGAAGCAGAAGCCAGAUAAACUGUUAGAACAGCAAUGGCAAUAGAUUGAAUAACAAUAUAUCCUCCAACAGGAUCUAUAAACCAAUAUGGUUGACUGAUUUAUCAAACCAAGAAACUGCAAAAGGAUUUCACACAAAAUUUGGGUUCUAAUUGGUCUAAUACAGUUAACUGAACUAGCACCCAAAUCAAUAGAUACCUACAUUGCACAAGACUGGAUACUAAACUGUUUCUAUUUGUAAUUCUCAAUACAUCUUAUUCCUGAAUAGCAUUGAGGAAUUUCAAAUAAUAACCACUGACUAUUAUUCAGUUUGGAAUUUCAAACUGAUUCUUUG
rnacentral:misc_RNA from 1 species